rnacentral:SRP_RNA from 1 species
GCUGGGCAUGGUGGCACACACCUGUAAUCCAAGUGGCUUGGGAGGCUGAGGCAGGGGGAUCUCAAGUUCAGAGCCAGCCUCAGCAAUUUAUGCAGGCUCUAACUAACGUAGCAAGAUCCUGUCUCAA